UAGCCUUGACAUACUACAGAAUUUGACAGAGAUGUUGAAGUGCCUUCGGGAGCUGUAAUACAGGUGCUGCACGGCUGUCGUCAGCUCGUGUCGUGAGAUGUUGGGUUAAGUCCCGCAACGAGCGCAACCCUCGUCACUAGUUACUAACGGUUCGGCCGAGGACUCUAGUGAGACUGCCUUCGUAAGGAGGAGGAAGGUGAGGACGACGUCAAGUCAUCAUGGCCCUUACGGCUAGGGCAACACACGUGCUACAAUGGUUAGGACAAUGAGACGCAAUACCGCGAGGUGGAGCAAAUCUAUAAACCUAAUCUCAGUUCGGAUUGAAGUCUGCAACUCGACUUCAUGAAGCUGGAAUCACUAGUAAUCGUAGAUCAGCUAUGCUACGGUGAAUACGUUCCCGGGUC
rnacentral:rRNA from 1 species